GCGGGUUUAGCUCAGUUGGGAGAGCGUCAGACUGAAGUCCACUUCACUCAUGAAAUCUGAAGGUCAUGUGUUCGAUCCACAUAAACCGCA